GAUGAACGCUAUCUACAGGCUUAACACAUGCAAGUCGAGGGGCAUCAGGAAGAAAGCUUGCUUUCUUUGCUGGCGACCGGCGCACGGGUGAGUAACACGUAUCCAACCUGCCCUUUACUCGGGGAUAGCCUUUCGAAAGAAAGAUUAAUACCCGAUAGCAUAAUGAUUCCGCAUGGUUUCAUUAUUAAAGGAUUCCGGUAAAGGAUGGGGAUGCGUUCCAUUAGGUUGUUGGUGAGGUAACGGCCCACCAAGCCUUCGAUGGAUAGGGGUUCUGAGAGGAAGGUCCCCCACAUUGGAACUGAGACACGGUCCAAACUCCUACGGGAGGCAGCAGUGAGGAAUAUUGGUCAAUGGGCGCUAGCCUGAACCAGCCAAGUAGCGUGAAGGAUGAAGGCUCUAUGGGUCGUAAACUUCUUUUAUAUAAGAAUAAAGUGCAGUAUGUAUACUGUUUUGUAUGUAUUAUAUGAAUAAGGAUCGGCUAACUCCGUGCCAGCAGCCGCGGUAAUACGGAGGAUCCGAGCGUUAUCCGGAUUUAUUGGGUUUAGAGGGAGCGUAGGUGGACUGGUAAGUCAGUUGUGAAAGUUUGCGGCUCAACCGUAAAAUUGCAGUUGAUACUGUCAGUCUUGAGUACAGUAGAGGUGGGCGGAAUUCGUGGUGUAGCGGUGAAAUGCUUAGAUAUCACGAAGAACUCCGAUUGCGAAGGCAGCUCACUGGACUGCAACUGACACUGAUGCUCGAAAGUGUGGGUAUCAAACAGGAUUAGAUACCCUGGUAGUCCACACAGUAAACGAUGAAUACUCGCUGUUUGCGAUAUACAGUAAGCGGCCAAGCGAAAGCAUUAAGUAUUCCACCUGGGGAGUACGCCGGCAACGGUGAAACUCGAAGGAAUUGACGGGGGCCCGCACAAGCGGAGGAACAUGUGGUUUAAUUCGAUGAUACGCGAGGAACCUUACCCGGGCUUAAAUUGCAGUGGAAUGAUGUGGAAACAUGUCAGUGAGCAAUCACCGCUGUGAAGGUGCUGCAUGGUUGUCGUCAGCUCGUGCCGUGAGGUGUCGGCUUAAGUGCCAUAACGAGCGCAACCCUUAUCUUCAGUUACUAACAGGUUAUGCUGAGGACUCUGGAGAGACUGCCGUCGUAAGAUGUGAGGAAGGUGGGGAUGACGUCAAAUCAGCACGGCCCUUACGUCCGGGGCUACACACGUGUUACAAUGGGGGGUACAGAAGGCAGCUACCUGGUGACAGGAUGCUAAUCCCAAAAGCCUCUCUCAGUUCGGAUCGAAGUCUGCAACCCGACUUCGUGAAGCUGGAUUCGCUAGUAAUCGCGCAUCAGCCACGGCGCGGUGAAUACGUUCCCGGGCCUUGUACACACCGCCCGUCAAGCCAUGGGAGCCGGGGGUACCUGAAGUACGUAACCGCAAGGAUCGUCCUAGGGUAAAACUGGUGACUGGGGCUAAGUC
rnacentral:rRNA from 1 species